CCGCGGGCCUGCUGCCGGGAGCGCUGCCCUCGCCGUCCUGCUCUGAAGAGCUGCCAGGACCUUCUGUGCCCGUGGCAGCGCGCUUCCUGGUCAUUGGGGCUGCCUAUGGAGCCCAAAAAAUGUCAGACUGGUCCAAAAAGUCGCACCUGCAGCUAGAAAAACCAACUGGUGCCAGACUAGCACCUACAGGGAAGCAAGUGACAGACUGCCAUUUUACAGCAAGAAGCCAAGCUAGCGGCUCUGCGUGAAAGAUGAAGAGCGGGGGAACCAACUCACCUGUCCGUCCGUGCCUCUGUGCUUGAGUCGGAUGUGUUUGUCCAGCAGGAAGCGGCUGCCAAAGCAACUUUGCAGAAUCUCCGUGGACUGGGUUAUCGGAUUAGCUUUAAGACUUUACAGAUGCCACGUGUGAAAGUUUCUUACUGGCAAUGGAAGACCCUCUUGUUGCCCUCAUGAAUGACUCUCUCGUGGCGUCUGAGGCUGGACGACGUGCUGAAGUUACCCCCGCAGAUACGACACGGGAACUGCGGUGGCGGGGGGAAAAAAAACACAGACUGCAGUUAAGUAGACAUUAAAUGCAAUGGCAAGGGUCAGUAGCCAUUUUUAAGGCACCUUGCCGUGCUCCAU